CUGGUCUGCCUAUAAAUCACGUGUUCUUGUGAAGAUAUCCAAGCAAUCUCCUCUGGCUCUGCUAGUAAACGUGUGUUUGUUUGGAAGCCUGCUUUCAAGGGAAAUAUUUUGCUUUGGGAACUUUUCAUCAGUUCUUUGCUUCUUUGUAAAUUUUGAAAGAUGAAACUUCAAAGAAGUCUUUAGUUGAAUUUGCCUGAUGUUCAACACAAGUUCAUUCAGUGCUGUUGGUUCCAAGACCAAAGAUGUUGCACUGUAAUGUAUGAAAUGCAAGGGAAUAAUGCAGGCUGCCUUUAAGUGGGCUGGGUGGAGGGGUGAUGGCUGUGACUAAUCAGUAGCCCGUACCUAACAUAUCCUGCUCUCCCCUUGGUCAGCCUGGCACAGCUGGCACCAAAAUCACGGCUGCUAAUGUCUGUAGUACAGCUGCAACUGUUUGUACAUGGGGUGGAUAGAUAAAGCACACCAAACCGAUGAGCAGAUUAGAUUUUGGUGAUUAAAAGAACAGUAGGAAAAAAAAGCCAGCAUCUCUUCAUAUAGGACCUUUGAUAGAAGUGCAAAUGUAGGGAGACUAUACUCUUAUCAUCUGAGGCAGUACGAGUGGUUUUGGGUUAUACUGUGACCUUCGUGCUGUGAAAAUCAUUGAACUGGUCUGAACCAGAAAUAGUUCCCCUUAGGAAAUUGUUUCCUUCAGCUGUGUUUUGUGGCUUAUAGUAUGGCACCUUAAGCACUUGUAGUCAACAGCAGUAGGAAGGGGGAGGAAAUGCUCAUUCAACAGAGAAAAUACCACAAGUAUGAGAAUUCUGGGUGGAUUGGAGGCGGAAGUGGAGGGGGGAAAACAUCCUUGUACACAAAACUAUAAGAGCAUAGGGGAUAAAUCUUCAUUGCUGCAGGACAAUACAACAAAACAAAAGCUAAGCUUGUGGCUGCAGAGCUAUAAAUUCUGGCAUUACGUUGGGUUACGGUAAAAGAGGAUUGUAGGUUUUCUUUCUGUCACUGUCACAUAUUCUUUCACCAACAUGGAUUUGGCUUCAUCUCAGAAUGGGGCUGCUCCAUGGUUGUGAGAAUAAUUUCUGUUUGUCUGACUGUUAUGCUUCCUGUUACUCUCUGAGCCCAUGGAAGCAAUGUCUGAAGGUGUGGUGUAGUCUCAGAAAUAAGUCAAAAUAUAUUGACUAGGCACUGGAAAGUCAUGUUAGAAUAUUUGAUGUGGGUGAAAGAAAGAAUUACCUGUUUCUCUUCUCUCUCCUUCAUGCAGAGCAAAGUGAGGAGUGACUCCAAAUGGUUGAAUUACACAAGACAUAGGAGAAUCUAUAUCCAGACACUGGUGUCCUAUGUCAGACUCAAAGUUUGUCCAUCUAGUUUAAAGUUUUACAUAGCUAUCCCUUGCUACUGUGUCUGAGCAUUCAUGCUUGUGGUUCCCACAGUAGUAUGUGUUUUAAGUAUUCAUGUUUAGGGCAGACAUUUGAAAACUCUUACUGUGAUCACCUCCUGCAAGUUGCUUAUGUUGUGAGAUGGGAUAAGGUCACAGCAAUGAGGGAGAAAGCCAGACUGUAACUGUGGAGAGGAAUGGGGUUGUGUGGGUGUCUCCAAGGGCAUAAUUUCUUCUGCAUUAUCUUUAUUACUGGUAAUGAUGAGUGAAAAGGAAAAGUCAGUUUAGGAUGAGUUUGGAAGAUACUCAAGAAAAGAUAAUCUUUUCCUUCUCAAAAAUUUAUCUGUUAUAGUGUCACUGAGAGGUGCUAAAGAUAAACACAGUCUUGUCUGGAGUCACUCUUCAGAGCAGGAUCUUACUUUAAAUCAAGUAAGUGUCUCUGUCAGUAAUGCAUUUUAUGAUUUCCUGCAGGAAAAACAAACAUGAAGUAAGCAUUACUGUCUAAAGAGCUGCUGUCUCCACCAUAGGGAACCAUUUGAUCUCUACUUAUAGGGAAAACUAUGGUUCACUUGACCUUGAAGAGAGAUAUUUUAUAAUAGUACAGGGCAAAUGUAGAAGCCCAUUGACAAAAAGUACAUAGCCUCUAUAGAUGGUUAACAAAUUUGCACAGCAUUAUCAGUUUUGUAUUUUUCUCUGAAAAUCAGCACUAGAAUAUUACCAGGUUUUAGUUAACUGGCAUACAGCAUGAUUGUGAUUUUUUUUCCCCUCGUGCCAUAUGUCUUUAGAUGCUAAAAGUACAGGAUGUAGUAUAGAAAUUUAUUUCCUAGAUUAAAAUAGCGCUAAAGUUACAAAUCCACUCAAAGGAAAAAUAUAAAUCUUACUCAGAAGUAAGGAUGUGCCAAAAAUAAAGCUGCCUAUGUGAUGUUUAUAUGAAAAAGAAUGCAUAGGAAGAUUUUCUUUCUGUGACUACAUAUUUUUUGGGGGUUGGUUUGUGGUUUUUUUUCCCCCUGGUAGUGUCCAAGCAGAUGCUUAGUGCUUUGCUUCCUAGUGUCCCUGUUAGUAGGAAAGCAGUACAAACCCCUGAGUUUCAGUAUGCUCCUAAAUCUGAACAGAGAAGAAAUUUUUCACUUUGUAGAAGUAAAUAAACAGAACUGUCCCUGGGACAAAGUGGACAUUUGAAAUGGCAUGGCCAGGUGGAGAGGCAAAUUAAUUUGCUUUAAUAAAACUGACUGGAUCGUAGUGGCUUUAGCGCCUGUUUCAGAGUCAGUCUCCAUGCAGUGGAUCCGUGACAUAUAAAUGCUUAUGGAUAAUUUUAGGUUGACUAGAUAGCUACAGUCAAUGUGAUUAAGCAUUGCUUUGAAUCAAUUUGUGUUACGGAAGUCAGUGCAGAUUCUAAUGUAUUGUUAAUGAGCUCUAGUUCCAUUCCUUUUCAUUUGAUGGAUGGAGAGGAGAUACAGUGCUUACUUCUCUGGGAUGAAAGAAAUCCACAUGUAUGCUGUCAACAAAGGCUAUCUGGACUUGGUGAACAGGCAUUACAAUCGGUCUGGAAGAGUUUGAAAGGGAGAGAAGAUGACAGAAGUAUUGAAGAGGUGAAAGAAGGAGGGAGGAACUGCUUGAGGUCUGGAGCCUUAAGAACAUGAAUCAGAGGCAAAAAGAAAUGCAUUAAUGGAAGAAUCCUAUCCUCAAUGAAACAAUUACUGUAAAGGAAGAGGUUGUAACUCCAGCUGAUGGACCUGAGAUGGGGGCUUCCAGGUUUUUGUUGGGCGAAAGCCUGAUGAUCCUGUCAUCCCAGGAAUAUUAUGAAAGAGAAAGUUAGAAUUAAUUAAAAGUAUAAUUGGAAGAAUGAAACUAACUGAAAUAAUGUUAAAGCAGAAAAUGUUAAGUGUUGCAUCUCAUGGGGAAUCAAAAGAGACAGCUCUGAGAAAGCAUUGCAGACGGUUGAUAAUCAGGCAGGUGUUACUCAACGCUCAACGCUUUUUGGGAACUGGCAAAUCAUCAAAAGAAAAUAUAACUGGAAUUCACUGUACAAGAUAAUCAGACUCAAACAUUUCAGAUGAGCAGGAUCUGUUUAAUGUGUCAUCUUCAUUCCUCAAGCAUAAACCUGCUGUUGAACGUGACAAAGAACUGCAGCUUCUUAACCGGUGGUACAGACAGGAUGAAAACUUUGUUUCAAGUAUUUACAAGCCACAGCCUACCAGCACAUUUUACAGGGAUAUUUUCAGCAGUGAUCCUGCACACAGGCAGCAAGCUAAGAGCAAAGGCUCAGCUCUUUCUAGAAACUACACAAGAUAUUUCAAGAGUAUGCUCCACUUACUCUCAGGGCGGAAGCAUCCACUCUGCUUCUGGAGACUGGUGAAAUCCAAAAUGAAGAGAAAGGCUGUCCUGCACUCAGCUGGAAUGAUCAGCAAUACAUUCUUUCCUAAAAGAAGGAGAAAGUCUUGCAGCAAGAGGUUGAUCAAGGAUUCAAGAUUUAGGGAUCUCCAGAAGAUCACUGUUACUGCAAGAGGAAAACCUGUGACUUAGAGUACAACCUGUCAAGCAGGCAGCCUUCAAAAUGUUUUGACAUCGACCUUGUGAAAACAGAGGUCAAUGAAAGGAAGUUUGAAGCACUUCAGAACAUCACAGAAAGCAUCCAUGCACAGGUGCAUCCUAAACCUGCGUUAAUUUUAUACUCACAAGUCAGCUUCAUCACACUAAUAUCUAUAAGAAAAAUGUAAGCUAGGACAAAGAUGGAAUUGAACCCAUCAACAGCAGAUCCCGUUCCUUCUACCUUGAACACCUACCUGUGCAAUGACUUUCAGAAAAUUGUCAUCGCCCAAUUCCACUGGUCAGCCUUUGACAAGGACCUUAUCUGAGGGAAAGUAACAAAGAUCAGAAGAUGAAGGAGCUGCAGACAAAAGGCCUUCUUUAAACACUGAAAGGCUGCAAUAAGGUCUCCCCAGAACCUUCUCUUCUCCAGGCUGAACAACUCCAACUCUCUCAGCCUGUCUUCACUGGAGAGGUGCUCCAGCCUUCUGAUCAUCUUCGUGGCCCUCCCCUGGACUCGCUCCAACAGGUCCAUGUUGUUCUCAUGUUGGGGACCCCAGAGCUGGACGCAGUACUCCAGUUGUUUCAGCUGGUAAAUGUGUGGACGUGCAUGGUGUGUAGGAAUAGAAAAGAAGCCGUGGUGUUCAGUGGUAGCAAAGGAGAUGUGGUUGUUAAGCUGAUACGCCGAGGCUCUGUGGUCGCUGUUCGGGGAGAAGUUGUAACUAAUGACUGCUUCCUUGUCAUCUUUAACCAUAUUCCAGGCACUAAUACCACUAAGAUACUACUGUGGAAUCUGAAGAGUACAGGCAUGUGGCCAAGUUACCUUCAGUUCGCCUUGGAGGCUUUUGUGGUGGAGAGAACUACCUUCAAAUGUGGAGCUUUGCUGCAAAGAUCAAUGACCAGUUUUUGACUGUUACAACAAACAAGGGAAAAGACACAAACGGAAUUUGAGACAUUGUGGCUACGCAGAAUUGU